rnacentral:tRNA from 1 species
GGGGUCGUAGCGAAGCCAGGAAUCGCAACGGGCUCCAGACCCGUGGGUCAGGGGUUCAAAUCCCUUCGGCCCCA